UUCACAGACCUUCUUUCUAAGGCAGGUUUCCCUGUGAACAGUGUCUCCUCAGUGAGACCACAGCGCCCUGUAUAGAAUGGUGCUUUCUGGGGCUGGAGAGAUGGCUCAGUGGUAAGCCCACUCUCAAGGCAGGAAUUCAGAGGACCUGAACUUGAAUCCACAUAGAAGCCAGGCGGGCACCCCAGACUGCCUCUGAGUCGAUCUGGCACAAACCUGAUGCAUGGCAGUGAGUCAUGCCCUCGCCUUGUCUCCGAGUCUCCUUUCCCAUAGUGCCACCACCACAGCCACCCUAAGGACACUUCAGAUUUGCAGUGAGCAAAGUCCCUGCUCCUAGGAGGAUGUGCAGGUGUGUGAGGUCAGGAGCACAGCUGGCUAGGGGGAGGAGCACACUGGGAGGAGCAUGGCUGGCUAGGGGGAGGAGCACACUGGGAGGAGCAGGGCUGGCUAGGAGGAGGAGCACACUGGGAGGAGCAUGGCUGGCUAGGGGAGGAGCACACUGGGAUGGGUGACCAUGGCUGCUGAUGUGGCUCCCACACUCCCAGCCUGCUGACCGUGGGCUGCUCAGGUGUGCUUAUCUUUCAGCCCAGACAGGGGUAACUGUUCUCUGGGGAUGGAGCUGUGGAAGAGGCAAGAGCUCUCAGUUCCUUAAGAAUAAUCAGUCUAGGCGCUGUGCCAUGAGCCUCGUCCCUCUGGUGCUGGAGUGCCACCUCCAUCUGUUCUCCUGGAACUCCACACCUAUGCUCCCAAGAGUGGCAAUAAACUCGGUGCUUCCCAGGGCUGGAGGCGAUGGUCCUCUCCGUGCCGCGAGAAGAAAAGGCACAGGUUGGAGAGAUGGCUCAGUGGGCAAAGAUACGUCCUUCUGGGCCUGAUGAGCUGAGUUCAAUCCUGGGGGACCGAUCUACAUGGUGGAAGGAGAGAACUGACUUCCACAAGGCCUCUUCCUCUGGUCUCCACGUUUGUGCUUUGCAUCCCUCCCAGUAACUAAAAACGUAAUUAAAAACUUUUUAAAAAUUGUCAUCUGCUUCCUUUAUAAUUGCCGAAAAGCCUGCCUUUCAUUGAGGUUAGGACAAGUUUCCUUAUACAGGCCUGAAUCCUGAUAUCUAAGGACCCAUGUGCAGUACAGUUUUAGGUAGCCUGUGUGUAUUAAUACACUACGACAUCUAAUUCUUCCACAGGGAAGAGCAUCAACCAUUCAUCCCCACACCAACAAGUACUGCUUGGAUAUCCUUUGCCAGUUCAAGGUGUCUCACACCUGCCAUAUAGGGAGAGAAUGUUAAACUGGGUGACUUCUGCUCCUGUAUAUAUACUUUAAAGAGAAAUGUAUCUUGUACGAAAUAAAUGAACCUCUCCUCUACAUGCUAUCGAAGCUAUUUUUUUUACUUUUAUUUUUCAGACUUUCCAGGCUAGCGCAGAAAUCCUGCCUUUAUUUGAACUAUUGUUUUUAUUACAAAAGGUGUUAUAGCUUCCAAAAAGCCAAAUUAAACAUUUUGAGAACACCGACCACAGCUGAUAGAAGUCAGUCAUUGGUUUGCUGACAAUAAAUAUGUAAAUAGUUAAUGAAGGUUCCUUCCUACAAGUUUCUCCUGUGAGCGCAGGGCCCAGGUAGGGUGUACUAGAAAAUGCGCACACAUGGCUCAUGAGACGGCUCACCUGUAAGGGCCCUGAUGCCAAGACUCACUUCACUGCCUGAGUUCAAGCCCUGGACCCACCACAGGAGAAAACUGACUCCUCAAGUUGUCCUCCAGCAUCCACACGAAUGCCACAGCGUGAGUGCCGACAUACAUGCAUAAAUAAAUAGAAAAAUGUGAUAAAACAAAGAAAACAUACCAAACGUGAAAGCAGAUGGACAAACAUUCUAAAAUUCUUGCUCGUGAUUAAGAACUUUAAAAAAAUGGACCCCUGGGGAAAGUAACACACCGGGACCUAUGGUAGAACUCUAAGACAACAUGUCCUAGGAACUCUCCUUUGAAACCACAGGCUGCAGACCUGGGCCAGGCUGUGCCGUACGUCCACAGCUUGCAAGAUUCAGAGAUAGCUGAGUGGCUUCGUCAAGACUCCCUGGAGUCUAGUGAGAUCUGCAUGAGAUAAAGGCGGGCACACGCUCAGGUUCAAGGUCUAUGUGGGCUGAUGUGGCUCUGGAUAGACUGCCUUUGCGAGCAAGGGACUAGUUAACACACCCAAACCCCACUCUUCUGCACCCUUUGGACAAGGCAGGGGACCUGCAGCAGUGCUGUCUGAUGGCAAUGGGUGGACAGCAACUACAAUGAGCAGCUGGCCUGGGAAGGGGCCAGAGCGAUCUACCACACCACAAAUGCUGUGCUAAUUCCAGGACCCGCAUUCCACCAUCCUCAUUUCAUUUAGAUCCCCCAGCUCCUGAGAAAGGAAGUGGAUUACUGAGACGUGUCCUUUUAUUUUCCCAUCUGUAUCAACAGGAGCAUCCUGCCAUAGGUCUUAGUGAGGAUGGGGUUCCAGAGCUGUUGGAGGGCCCUGCAGGCUAGAAGGGUUGGGCCAUGGUGGGAUCCCAACAGGUCAGAUGACCCAGCACCAAGAACACAGCAAAGGAAGCCAUUACUGGAGUGCUGGCAGCAGGUGAAGGCCAGGGGAGGGAGGGGCUCCAGGGCUACACUUUAAAGGGUGGUCAGCAAGCUGAUAGAGAGCCAGGCGGUUUGAGGGUGACCUGUAGAACAGGGUAUUGAGUGAAGUUGGGGGACAGAUUAUGCCUUGGAGGUCUCCCUGCCUCGGCUACUCCCUGCCUCUAGUUGGGUGAAGAGGACACUAGCCCCUAAUCCCAGCUGCUUCCAGGAGCCCAGUCUGGGAAGGUCUAGAAGAUGCAGUCAACAAAGGCAAGGGACAUGCAUGUCCAACUGAGAGGAGGAGCCCUGUGCCUGCUGAUGUUUGACACUCAUAGAUGCACGUGUAUGGAUGUAGAUGCAUACAGAUACACUCAAAAAACCAUCCUGUCCCCAGCCCCGUCACAAGCAUAUAUACACACACAGUUACACACAUCAACACAUACAGACCUUCUCAGUCAUGCAGACAUGCCGAGAUACAGACAACCACACACAUACACACCUCUUCUCCGCUCCUCG